AGCGAACGCUGGCGGCAGGCUUAACACAUGCAAGUCGAGCGGGCGUAGCAAUACGUCAGCGGCAGACGGGUGAGUAACGCGUGGGAACGUACCUUUGGUUCGGAACAACACAGGGAAACUUGUGCUAAUACCGGAUAAGCCCUUACGGGGAAAGAUUUAUCGCCGAAAGAUCGGCCCGCGUCUGAUUAGCUAGUUGGUGUGGUAACGGCGCACCAAGGCGACGAUCAGUAGCUGGCUGAGAGGAUGAUCAGCCACCAUUGGGACUGAGACACGGCCCAAACUCCUACGGGAGGGCAGCAGUGGGGAAUAUUGGACAAUGGGCGCAAGCCUGAUCCAGCCAUGCCGCGUGAGUGAUGAAGGCCCUACGGGUUGUAAAGCUCUUUGUGCGGGAAGAUAAUGACGGUACCGCAAGAAUAAGCCCCGGCUAACUUCGUGCCAGCCGCCGCGGUAAC
rnacentral:rRNA from 1 species